rnacentral:rRNA from 1 species
UACGUAGGGGCAAGCGUUGUCCGGAUUUAUUGGGCGUAAAGAGCGUGUAGGCGGCUUGGUAGGUCUCGCGUCAAAACCUGAGGCUCAACCUCAGUUCGCGUGGGAAACCACCUGAGCUAGAGUCCGGAAGAGGAGAACGGAAUUCCCAGUGUAGCGGUGAAAGUGCGCAGAUAUUGGGAAGAACACCAGUGGCGAAAGGCGGGUUCUCUGGGGACGGUACUGACGCUGAGACGCGAAAGCGUGGGGAGCGAACGAGG